GGUAGCUCAGCGAGUACUUAAAAUAGGUAGAAGCUUGACAAGUUCCAUAAGUCGAGAAACUGCACAGGAUGUUCUGGAUACAGUUCAAAGGAUCCAUCAUCUCAUGGAUUUUAUCGAACAGAAGCAGCUGGAGCUUGAUAGGACAUGGU